AAAUUGAAGAGUUUGAUCAUGGCUCAGAUUGAACGCUGGCGGCAGGCCUAACACAUGCAAGUCGAGCGGUAGCACAGAGAGCUUGCUCUCGGGUGACGAGCGGCGGACGGGUGAGUAAUGUCUGGGAAACUGCCUGAUGGAGGGGGAUAACUACUGGAAACGGUAGCUAAUACCGCAUAACGUCGCAAGACCAAAGUGGGGGACCUUCGGGCCUCAUGCCAUCAGAUGUGCCCAGAUGGGAUUAGCUAGUAGGUGGGGUAACGGCUCACCUAGGCGACGAUCCCUAGCUGGUCUGAGAGGAUGACCAGCCACACUGGAACUGAGACACGGUCCAGACUCCUACGGGAGGCAGCAGUGGGGAAUAUUGCACAAUGGGCGCAAGCCUGAUGCAGCCAUGCCGCGUGUGUGAAGAAGGCCUUCGGGUUGUAAAGCACUUUCAGCGGGGAGGAAGGCGAUAAGGUUAAUAACCUUGUCGAUUGACGUUACCCGCAGAAGAAGCACCGGCUAACUCCGUGCCAGCAGCCGCGGUAAUACGGAGGGUGCAAGCGUUAAUCGGAAUUACUGGGCGUAAAGCGCACGCAGGCGGUCUGUCAAGUCGGAUGUGAAAUCCCCGGGCUCAACCUGGGAACUGCAUUCGAAACUGGCAGGCUAGAGUCUUGUAGAGGGGGGUAGAAUUCCAGGUGUAGCGGUGAAAUGCGUAGAGAUCUGGAGGAAUACCGGUGGCGAAGGCGGCCCCCUGGACAAAGACUGACGCUCAGGUGCGAAAGCGUGGGGAGCAAACAGGAUUAGAUACCCUGGUAGUCCACGCCGUAAACGAUGUCGAUUUGGAGGUUGUGCCCUUGAGGCGUGGCUUCCGGAGCUAACGCGUUAAAUCGACCGCCUGGGGAGUACGGCCGCAAGGUUAAAACUCAAAUGAAUUGACGGGGGCCCGCACAAGCGGUGGAGCAUGUGGUUUAAUUCGAUGCAACGCGAAGAACCUUACCUGGUCUUGACAUCCACAGAACUUUCCAGAGAUGGAUUGGUGCCUUCGGGAACUGUGAAACAGGUGCUGCAUGGCUGUCGUCAGCUCGUGUUGUGAAAUGUUGGGUUAAGUCCCGCAACGAGCGCAACCCUUAUCCUUUGUUGCCAGCGGUUAGGCCGGGAACUCAAAGGAGACUGCCAGUGAUAAACUGGAGGAAGGUGGGGAUGACGUCAAGUCAUCAUGGCCCUUACGACCAGGGCUACACACGUGCUACAAUGGCAUAUACAAAGAGAAGCGACCUCGCGAGAGCAAGCGGACCUCAUAAAGUAUGUCGUAGUCCGGAUUGGAGUCUGCAACUCGACUCCAUGAAGUCGGAAUCGCUAGUAAUCGUAGAUCAGAAUGCUACGGUGAAUACGUUCCCGGGCCUUGUACACACCGCCCGUCACACCAUGGGAGUGGGUUGCAAAAGAAGUAGGUAGCUUAACCUUCGGGAGGGCGCUUACCACUUUGUGAUUCAUGACUGGGGUGAAGUCGUAACAAGGUAACCGUAGGGGAACCUGCGGUUGGAUCACCUCCUUACCUUAAAGAA
rnacentral:rRNA from 1 species